AUGGCUCAGGAUGAACGCUGGCGGCGUGCCUAACACAUGCAAGUCGAACGGAGCUUUAUGGAUCGAGACUUCGGUCAAGUGAAGUUUAAGCUUAGUGGCGGACGGGUGAGUAACGCGUGAGUAACCUGCCUUUCAGUGGGGGAUAACGUUUGGAAACGAACGCUAAUACCGCAUAACGUAUCGGGAUCGCAUGGUCUUGAUACCAAAGAUUUUAUCGCUGAAAGAUGGACUCGCGUCUGAUUAGAUAGUUGGUGAGGUAACGGCCCACCAAGUCGACGAUCAGUAGCCGGACUGAGAGGUUGAACGGCCACAUUGGGACUGAGACACGGCCCAGACUCCUACGGGAGGCAGCAGUGGGGAAUAUUGCACAAUGGGCGCAAGCCUGAUUGCAGCAACGCCGCGUGAGGGAUGACGGUUUUCGGAUUGUAAACCUCUGUCUUUGGUGACGAAGAAGUGACGGUAGCCAAGGAGGAAGCCACGGCUAACUACGUGCCAGCAGCCGC
rnacentral:rRNA from 1 species